rnacentral:rRNA from 1 species
GAUGAACGCUGGCGGCGUGCCUAAUACAUGCAAGUCGAGCGAACGGACGAGAAGCUUGCUUCUCUGAUGUUAGCGGCGGACGGGUGAGUAACACGUGGAUAACCUACCUAUAAGACUGGGAUAACUUCGGGAAACCGGAGCUAAUACCGGAUAAUAUUUUGAACCGCAUGGUUCAAAAGUGAAAGACGGUCUUGCUGUCACUUAUAGAUGGAUCCGCGCUGCAUUAGCUAGUUGGUAAGGUAACGGCUUACCAAGGCAACGAUGCAUAGCCGACCUGAGAGGGUGAUCGGCCACACUGGAACUGAGACACGGUCCAGACUCCUACGGGAGGCAGCAGUAGGGAAUCUUCCGCAAUGGGCGAAAGCCUGACGGAGCAACGCCGCGUGAGUGAUGAAGGUCUUCGGAUCGUAAAACUCUGUUAUUAGGGAAGAACAUAUGUGUAAGUAACUGUGCACAUCUUGACGGUACCUAAUCAGAAAGCCACGGCUAACUACGUGCCAGCAGCCGCGGUAAUACGUAGGUGGCAAGCGUUAUCCGGAAUUAUUGGGCGUAAAGCGCGCGUAGGCGGUUUUUUAAGUCUGAUGUGAAAGCCCACGGCUCAACCGUGGAGGGUCAUUGGAAACUGGAAAACUUGAGUGCAGAAGAGGAAAGUGGAAUUCCAUGUGUAGCGGUGAAAUGCGCAGAGAUAUGGAGGAACACCAGUGGCGAAGGCGACUUUCUGGUCUGUAACUGACGCUGAUGUGCGAAAGCGUGGGGAUCAAACAGGAUUAGAUACCCUGGUAGUCCACGCCGUAAACGAUGAGUGCUAAGUGUUAGGGGGUUUCCGCCCCUUAGUGCUGCAGCUAACGCAUUAAGCACUCCGCCUGGGGAGUACGACCGCAAGGUUGAAACUCAAAGGAAUUGACGGGGACCCGCACAAGCGGUGGAGUAUGUGGUUUAAUUCGAAGCAACGCGAAGAACCUUACCAAAUCUUGACAUCCUUUGACAACUCUAGAGAUAGAGCUUUCCCCUUCGGGGGACAAAGUGACAGGUGGUGCAUGGUUGUCGUCAGCUCGUAUCGUGAGAUGUUGGGUUAAGUCCCGCAACGAGCGCAACCCUUAAGCUUAGUUGCCAUCAUUAAGUUGGGCACUCUAAGUUGACUGCCGGUGACAAACCGGAGGAAGGUGGGGAUGACGUCAAAUCAUCAUGCCCCUUAUGAUUUGGGCUACACACGUGCUACAAUGGACAAUACAAAGGGCAGCGAAACCGCGAGGUCAAGCAAAUCCCAUAAAGUUGUUCUCAGUUCGGAUUGUAGUCUGCAACUCGACUACAUGAAGCUGGAAUCGCUAGUAAUCGUAGAUCAGCAUGCUACGGUGAAUAUGUUCCCGGGUCU